GUAUUUAGGAAUCCUAAAUGAAGCUGGCUGCAGAGCCAAGGAGCUCCAGCAGAGCGCCGGCGUGUGUGCCUGCCGGAGUCUGAUCUCUUACACGGGAAGCUGCGUUUGAUAUCUCAUUUGUUGGCUGUGUUCCUUGCAAAGCUAAGCGCUGUUUAACCCACUUUGCCAUAACAGAAGAAAACUCAGAAGAGGAUGGCUGGGUAAGGGGAAGAUGAUCCUACAGAUAGGGCCUGGAAUGGUCUGAGAAGGCUUCAGGGACACAUUGAACAUGCUGCCACCUUCUGGCUGAGUGUGGCCCACACGUGGGUGCCCCUGGAGGGGGACCUCCCUACUUCUAAAUGUCACUGGGGUUCCAGAAUUGCAGGGUCUGUGGAAGGAAAGCAGGUUAUACUGUUCCACUAUGGUGAUCCUCAGCUCUGCCAUGCCCAUGGUCCCGUACAGCCUUCUUCUGAGGCUUUCUUAUGCAUGUUUCUCUGUGCCUCAGUCUGAUGUCCUCACUUCACCCUCUCUGCAACCAAAGCUGAGUCUCCCUACUCCCAUGGUGAAAACCAGCUCUGUGUGCACAGCAAAUGGAGAGGCAGACAGCC
ensembl:lncRNA